CAGUAGCCACGGUAAUACAGAGGGUGCGAGCGUUAAUCGGAUUUACUGGGCGUAAAGCGUGCGUAGGCGGCUUCUUAAGUCGGAUGUGAAAUCCCUGAGCUUAACUUAGGAAUUGCAUUCGAUACUGGGAAGCUAGAGUAUGGGAGAGGAUGGUAGAAUUCCAGGUGUAGCGGUGAAAUGCGUAGAGAUCUGGAGGAAUACCGAUGGCGAAGGCAGCCAUCUGGCCUAAUACUGACGCUGAGGUACGAAAGCAUGGGGAGCAAACAGGAUUAGAGACCCGUGUAGUCCCUGUCUCUUAUAC
rnacentral:rRNA from 1 species